UCAGGAUGAACGCUGGCGGCGUGCCUAACACAUUCAAGUCGAACGGUGUACUUAGUAGCAAUACUGAGGUAGCAUAGUGGCGGACGGGUGAGUAACGCGUGAGCAACCCGCCUUUCAGAGGGGGAUAACACAGGGAAACUUGUGCUAAUACCGCAUAACGUAUACUGGGGGCAUCCCCGGGAUACCAAAGGAGCAAUCUGCUGAAAGAAGGGCUCGCGUCCGAUUAGAUAGUUGGCGGUGUAACGGACCACCAAGUCUACGAUCGGUAGCCGGACUGAGAGGUUGAACGGCCACAUUGGAACUGAGAAACGGUCCAGACUCCUACGGGAGGCAGCAGUGGGGAAUAUUGGGCAAUGGGCGAAAGCCUGACCCAGCGACGCCCGCGUGAAGGAAGACGGUCUUCGGAUUGUAAACUUCAGUUAUACGGGACGAAAGCGCAGCAAUGCGCGUGACGGUACCGUAAGAGAAAGCCACGGCUAACUACGUGCCAGCAGCCGC
rnacentral:rRNA from 1 species